UACGAAGGGGGCUAGCGUUGCUCGGAAUCACUGGGCGUAAAGGGUGCGUAGGCGGGUCUUUUAAGUCAGGGGUGAAAUCCUGGAGCUCAACUCCAGAACUGCCUUUGAUACUGAAGAUCUUGAGUUCGGGAGAGGUGAGUGGAACUGCGAGUGUAGAGGUGAAAUUCGUAGAUAUUCGCAAGAACACCAGUGGCGAAGGCGGCUCACUGGCCCGAUACUGACGGCUGAGGCACGAAAGCGUGGGGAGCAAACAGG
rnacentral:rRNA from 1 species